rnacentral:rRNA from 1 species
UACGAAGGGGGCUAGCGUUGUUCGGAAUUACUGGGCGUAAAGCGCACGUAGGCGGACAUUUAAGUCAGGGGUGAAAUCCCAGAGCUCAACUCUGGAACUGCCUUUGAUACUGGGUGUCUUGAGUAUGGAAGAGGUGAGUGGAAUUCCGAGUGUAGAGGUGAAAUUCGUAGAUAUCAGGAAGAACACCCGUGGCUAAGGCGGCUCUCUAGUACGGUACUGACGCUGAGACGCGAAAGCGUGGGGAGCGAACAGG